GUAGACCCAUUCUCUAUUUGUCUAGUAGACUUGACAUCCACAAUAAUCAAAGGGAGUAGACCCAUUCUCUAUUUGUCUAGUAUACUUGACAUCCUUUCUCGAUGUUUCUAGUGGAUUUGAUAUCCACAUUUAUCAAGCGGGAACCUGAAAGGUUUCCUCUCGAACAUACAAGUUCUAUAAGGGAUUCGGCCCUAGUCCUCUAAUAAUUAGCAAACAUUUUGCAUGCUUUCCUACAGAGAGAGGUGUUGACUCCUCAACUGCUCUCAACUAAUUGGAUAGUAAAACUUGGAUAUGGCAUUGGUUGAUGAUCUCUACGUUUCACUCGGUGAUCCUGAGCCCAUUUGAAAACACCUCAGGAUUUUGUUCCUAUUUAGAGACUUUUGUGUACCUAUAAUCCUUUGUCCGCCCCUAGUUAAUAUUCUUGUCACAUCGAUGAAAAAAAAACUCGAUUUUUUUGCCAAUUUGAAAUUUUUAAGUGUUCUAAAAUUCCGCUGGCAGCGCCGGUGUCCUGCAUGGAGCUAGUAGAACACAUGUUAAAAUCAUGUUGUUAUCAAAAAUAUUUAAUAUUUAAUGUUAGCUAGUUAUUUAACACUGUGAUAUUUUUAACUGAUCUCAAAUCCUGAAUUUACA